rnacentral:rRNA from 1 species
UACGUAGGGACCAAGCGUUGUCCGGAUUUACUGGGCGUAAAGAGCGCGCAGGCGGUCGUUCAAGUCGCGUGUGAAAGCCCCCCGGCUCAACUGGGGAGGGUCACGCGAUACUGAUCGACUCGAAGGCAGGAGAGGGUAGUGGAAUUCCCGGUGUAGUGGUGAAAUGCGUAGAUAUCGUUUGGAACGCCAAUGGUGAAAACAGGUCGCUGGGGGAUGAGCUGACGCUGAGACACGAAAAGCCAGGGGAGCAAACGGGG